AAUUCUCAAUCCCUACAACUUUGUGUUGAUUAGUGGAUUGGAUGUGGGGGUUUCUGUGUGGGAUCUAAUCUCCCUCACUCCCCUUAAAUGUAUUAGCCGGAAUGCUUCUGCAAAUCUGACUAUCAGUGUGAUAAUUAUCUAUACUGUAGUUGUUGCAUGAGGGUAUCUGCUUCAUAAACUGUCGAAAGACAAUUCUAAUGACCA
rnacentral:misc_RNA from 1 species